rnacentral:sRNA from 10 species
GAGAGGUGUGAAGCAUUUUGUUUUCAAAAGAAACGAAACUUCUCCCGAAGCACAUCUUUCUCAUUUCCAUCGUUACUUUUACUAAAACUAAAAGAGAGCAAAAGUUCUUCGGGCGUUGACAACGAAAGGUGUCUAACACUUCGAGUCAAUAGACUAACGAAGUCAUCGGUAGACCGCAAGUCUCCUGAUGUCAAUUAUCAAAUACCUGGUGGGAUGGCCGUCCCUUAGUGAACUCGCAAGGUUUGACAGAGUAAAGUAGUAGUUGAGUAGUUGUUAACGAAAAGAGUGGUUCACUCAAAUAACCGACACUGACUUGAUACUUUCGGCAACGAGAGUGGAUACAUGAGCAACCGAUAUAGGGUAAUCUCACUAAAGACAAGUCACCAUAAACGUGUAAUCUCAGCGU